UUGUUUCACAUUCUUUUGCAUCAUCUUCAUAGCAUAACAUUUUUUUCUGUCUUAAUAUUAGCCGGAAUAAUUUCUCGGAAUUUACAAACAGACUGGUCAAAUUAACUUUUUAACUGUGCCUAAAAUUAGUCAACGAAAAAAUAUCAAGUUUAAGUUUGCAAAUGUCGGUAACAUUAAUCUGCGGUUCACGUGGUUUAAUUUGACAUGCUAAAAAUAUUUUUACGACUAUUUUUGGUCAU
rnacentral:lncRNA from 1 species